rnacentral:rRNA from 1 species
UACAGAGGGUGCAAGCGUUGUUCGGAAUUAUUGGGCGUAAAGAGCUUGUAGGUGGCUCGUCGCGUCGGGAGUGAAAACCCGCGGCUUAACCGCGGGCCUGCUUUCGAUACGGGCGGGCUAGAGUUCGGCAGGGGAGACUGGAAUUCCUGGUGUAGCGGUGGAAUGCGCAGAUAUCAGGAGGAACACCGGUGGCGAAGGCGGGUCUCUGGGCCGAUACUGACACUGAGAAGCGAAAGCGUGGGGAGCGAACAGG